CCUGGGCCGCCCUGCCUGCCCUUGCCACCCCUGGCUGGCAGUGCCCGUGCUGCUGGGGCCGGUGGUGGCUGCAGCCCCUCUGGCCGUGCUGCAGCCCCUGGCUUCCUUGGCUGCAGCCCGUCCUCUGGCCGUGCUGCAGCCCCCGGCUUCCAUCUCAGCCCCCAGUAGCCCCCAGCAGCCCCGGCUUCCAGCAGGGAGAUCACGGGCUGGCAGCCCAGAGCGGGCAGUGUGAGGGACGGGAGGAGAGCAGCCCCGGGGGGGAUCAGGGGCUGGUAGAAGUAGAUGAGGAAUGUGAGGAUAUAGAGAUAGUUGUUGUAUAGAUAGAUAGUGGGUAGCAUGGUACAUAAUAGUUGGUAGCGACGUAGAUAGUGAGAUAGAUAGCUUAUGGUUGUAUACAGGUAGUGAACAGUUAGCAGAUAGCUAGGGGUUAUUGGUAGAGAAGUAGUUUAUGGAUAGCAAAGUAGUUAGCAGCAAGCAACAGUUAGUAGUGAUGUAGUUAGAUCAUAGCCAGAUAGCUGAUAGGGGGAUGCAGGAUAGAAUGACGGGUGACUGGGAGACAGUUAGUUUAUAGAGCAUGAUAUAGAACGUUACUAAAAAGAAUCUCUGUUUCAGAUGAGCCACUGCAUCCUGGGACACCACUCUCCCCUCCAGUACGAUGAAGACCAACGCCUGAUGCUGCUCCAUCACCAGCAGAAGAACAGCAGCUCUGCAGAGACCCGUCCUGCCAGCAGAGCAUCACGGAGAAGAAGACGCGCCUUCUGCUCACAGGAAGGUACUCGUGCUGCAGCCGCCUCCCUGGCAGCCCCAGCAGCCCCGCACUGCCCCGCUUGCAGCUGCGGCCCCACCAGGGCAGCUGCAGGUGAUGGGCUGGCAGCCCAGUGCGGGCUGUGCGAGGGGCAGGGGGAGGGCAGCCCUGGGGCUGUGGGGGGCUGAUGGCAGUGGAUAGGGAAAUAGCGGACGGCAAGGCAGUUCUUGUCUUGACAGUACGUGAACUGCAAGGGAGUUGAUAGAUGGUGGCUAGCGGUAACAGAACCUUCUUUUGUCUUUGCUGCAGAGGAGUCCUUGCACUUCACUUCACCCCCUCCUCCAGGAGGAAGCAGGAUCAGCGCCCGGUGCUGCCCCAGCGCCGGCAGAAGAACAGCGGCUCUUGGAAGCGCGACCUGCUGGGAGAUCGUCGGGGAGAAGAGGACGCGCCUUCUGCGCCGAGGGAGGUAUGUCAGUGUCUGUGCUCGUGGCCCAGCACACAGAACGUUCCUGGCUGGGAGGGGUGUGCCCAUGAGAUAAGGCAGGGCAGUGGAGGAGCUGAAGAUGACGGGAAAUGUUCUGCAUCUGCGUUUCCAGUUUCAAAAUGCUUUAGCCUGAGUUGGAGGUCGGAACCAAACGACAGACCUGUUCAUACACAGCUUUCUCUUUUGCAGUUCAAAGUCUUUCUUCCCUUCACUUUGUGAUUGUCCCUGUUGACCUGGUGGCAACCAACUCUUCUCUUUUGCAUUUGUUUUGCUCAGCCUUCUCCUGUAAUCCCACCUUCAAGGAGACGAUGCUCAGCUGCUCCAGAACAGCCACGGAGGGAACGGACGGAAGAGGAGAGCCCAGAUGACUGCGCCCGUGUGAACUGCCAUGCAGAGACUGAAUGCAGAGACUGAGCCAGCAAACAACGGAGUAGAUAGCAUAGAGAGUUAGUUAACACUAAAAUGUAUUAGUAUAGCAUAGUGUAGUUGUCAAAUAGCUUUGUAAAUAAAUUCACUUUGUUCGUAUCCUUAUCUUGUGUUGUGUAAAAUGAUGGGGAUGGGUAGUCUGAUACUUCAGGAAAUAAAUGAUUUGGAAACGUAUCUUUUCUGUUGUUGUGGUUUUUUGGGGGGGGAGCGGGAUGGGGGGGAGGGGUUUUACGGUGAAAUCCCGGACUGAAUUUACAGUUUGUGUCACACAAGGAAGUAGAAUCACCUGUUCUACCAUUAGUUUGACCAUUGUUCAUGGCUGUCCAGCUCUGGAUUCUCAUCCACAGGGAGGUGCUGGGUUCCCAUUGCAGAGCUGGGAGCCCCAGCACAGCCAAGGGAAGCUCAGUGCGCCCCUCUGCAGAAGCACGUGUCUGCUGGAGACUGCAGGGGUGCUGCUGCUCUCUGUGUAGUCAGUGCCUACAGCUUGUCCUUCACGUGCUGAGUGAGAAGCCUGCUAAUCUCGCAUUACUUGUACUCUUGUCUAAAUCUGAUUUUUACAACCAUUAUGCUAGAACAAAUAGGAUUAAUCCAAUGGUGGAGUAUUACUCGAGCUUCACACCAGUCAGUGUGACUUGCAAACUGUUUGUAACCACUUCCAGCUGCACCAGAGCACAGAACUGCGCUCUGUAUUUCUCCCCAUGCUUUUGUCACUUGCAUUUGUGUGAUGUGGAGCUCUGGUUUUGACAGAGGCAGAAGGAAUCAUAGCACUUUGUGCCUUUUAACAGGUCUGCCUGCAUUGGGAUUGUAGGUACUCCUUAGUGACCCUGCCCAAGCUUACAUACCAAAAGGCAAGGGCUGCACACCAACGUUUGUCUGUAGAAAUUUGAUGUUGGAGAGUUACAGAAUUAUUUGUAAGGUUUGCUACGUACUGCAGAAGAGCAGCAAAUAAGUCAAAGCAGAAGGAUAAGCUGCACUAUUCGACAGCCCGUUCGUUCUAUUUGACCAGUUAGAACGUAAAGCCAUUUCAGCAGAAAGCGCAGUUUAAGUCAUGGAGCAUAAAUGCACUUACUUCAGCAGAACAAAAUACAACUCCUGGAUAUUUACUGCCAUUUUGAGGAUGUUAAUGAAGAAAACAAACCACGAUAAACCACAACGCUCCUCUUUGAAGAACCAGAUCCCAACCGUCACGUCUCCAUUGGCUCUCUGUGAAUUGGUGUUGCUGCACUGGGAGGAAAUCCCGAUAUACCCCAACAGACGGCAGGGAAGAAAACCAACAGCUGUCCCUUCAGCACCGGGCAGCCCCUGCACAGCGCCUGGCAGUGCCAUAGGCAGCCCAAAGCACAGUGUGUGAAUCGACACUGAAGGACACCGCUGGCAGGAAGUCAAUGAAUGUGGGUAUCUUCUGCCGCUCCCCAGGCACACGGGCCAGUAAGUUCACACGGAAUAGGCUUCCAUUGGACUUAUGGAGGGAGGUGAUCCCUGCUGUGGUCCUCUGAAACUAUCGGUGUUGGACUUCAGAGCACCGGCAGAGGAGAGCAGAUGAUGACGUGGCUGCAGCUCCAGCGCAUGGGUUUGUACUGUGCAGCCACUGCGUUUCAGAAACACUCCUUUGUGAAUGCACUGUGCCUGAAGCCUUUGCUCUGGGCCAGGGCUGCGUUCGAGGCACAGUGGUACAGACAAAACUCACCUUGAGUAGAACGACCAGUGCUACGAUAGGCAUUUCUGUGGUCGUGUAAUUUAAGUAUUCCCAGGAAGACACGCUGGUGGAUACAAGACAGAAAAGUGACCCAAAACAGCCAUAGAGCAAAUGCAUCCUCCCACAGUGCUUCUGUUUGCUGCAAGGAGCGCAUGGCUGGAUAUGUAUAAAUCACAGCCCCAUUUAUGUGGAGGAAGACUGUAAAGAAAGCUUAAGCUCAUCCAGACCACUGCUGAAGGUUCUGUGUGGGGGGGAAAUGCUCACCAAGCUGCAGGAAACCAUCAAAUAACCCAAAGGAAACACAGAUGCCGGCUGAUUUAACGUGUCCCCAUUUGCAGUCUAUAAAUACCUCUGUGGUGAGCUCUGAAGAUCUCAGUCUAUCUGUGAUGAGGAAAUGCAGGCAGAAAGCAGCCUCACAGACAAAUGGAAUGGAUUUCACAGCACCGCCAUUUGUUGCCUCUCCUUCCGCUGUGCCGCUUACACCACGGAAACAGCCCUGCAGCCCUAAUGGGAAACCUGUCCUACCCGGGCUCUAUGACUUUAGGAAGGAUAUCGUCGGUGCUGUUGUGGCUUCAGUGCUCAACCACAGCUCCGGGUGUCAGAGCGUGCAGCAGGUGUUCUUUUUCCAGAGGUCAGUGGAAGUCCCGUUCUCUCAAGGCAGCAGCACACUGAGAAUCAUUGCUGUGCUUUUCAGAGCUACAGGAGCACUGUGCUGUGUCACUGCAUGCCCACAGGGAUCAGCUGUGCACACACACAGCUCUGAUCACCAGCAUGACAUGGAAGCUAAGGCUGGGUGGAUUAAGGAGCUGGCUUAUGGAUGGUGAAUGGAAGUCCCAUUAGCCAUCAGCAAGGUCCAGUCUGUGCAUGCGAAAUGGUGAGUUGCAAGAUGCUGCAAAAUUGGAAAGUGUUGCUCUGUAGUACCAGGGAACAUUAACAAGUGUAAUGGGUUUGCAUGACGCAAAUAGGGUGAAUGGCAGAAUGGAUUCAUGUCUUUUUGUUUUCUUUCCAGCUUGUUAUUAUCUCAAGGAAAAAAAAACACUAAUUACCAGAAGCUAAUAGCUAGUGUGUUACUUACCCUCUUAAUUAGUACCCUAAUUAUUAAGUGCAGUGAUAACCACUAGUUAGAGCAUAUUUACUCUUUAAGACUUUCUUGUUUAUCUGUCUUUCCACUCCCUCUUUUUAAUAUUGCUGACACCAGUGGAGCUGCUGCAGAGAGAAUACAGCAAAUUUCCCCUCGGGAAAGGCAGCGUUUUGAGCCCCCUCUGUGCU
ensembl:lncRNA